rnacentral:lncRNA from 1 species
GUCUUCUCUAGGGCCACACCCAUGGCAUAUGGAGGUUCCCAGGCUAGGGGUCUAAUCAGAGUUGUAGCCACCAGCCUACACCAGAGCCACAGCAAUGCGAGAUCCCAGCCGCGUCUGCAACCUACACCACAGCUCACGGCAACACCAGAUCCUUAACCCACUGAGCAAGGCCAGGCAUCGAACCCGCAACCUCAUGGUUCCUAGUCGGAUUUGUUAACCACUGUGCCACGACGGGAACUCCGCUGCAUAUUUUAUAGAUUGAUGCUAGUUUGAUGCUCUGUGGCCUGUGUUUUUUGGCAUGAUAAAGGAGUAUCUUCAAAGCCUGAAAGACCUUCUCCGACUACCCAAAAGUUUACUCCUCCCACUGUUAGAAACAUCUCAGGAACAUCAGGCAAACCCUGGCUCGGGUAGCUUGAACUGACCUUCGGUGGCUAGACACUAAGACGUUCUCAAGCCCGUCCAUAAAAGAGAUCAGUGAUCAAUAUUUCCAAAUUCCUGUCUGGAAAUUAUAGGAAUUGCCCAUGAGAGCAGCAAUCUUAGUGUUUCCCCAAGCAUUUAAGCAGAGGCAGGAGAAGCAUCUGUUAGAGGUGGUGUGCAGUGCACGCCUAUCCUGAGUAAUAAGUUUGUAUUAGUCUGUACCACUUAACCACUACUAUGUAACAAAGUACCCCCAAAACUUGGUGGCUUAACCAACAAUCAACAUUGAUUCUCUCUCAGGUCCUAAAGGACAAGAAUCUGAAAGUGCACUUUUAUGCAGAAACGUAAAAAUACAACAAACUAGUGAAUAUAACAAAAAAAAAAAAAUAGAAGCAGAUCACAAACCAGCAGUUACCAGUGGGGAGAGAGCAGGGAAAUAUAAGGAUGGGGGAGUGGGAGGCACAAAGUAUUGAGCAUAGGAUAGGCUCAAGGAGGUAUUAUGCAACAUCGGAAUACAGCCAAUAUUUUGCAAUAAUUAUGUACGGAAAGCAACCCUGAAAUUGCAUUAAAAUGUUUUUAAAGUAUUUCCAAUUUUUUUAAAAGAAUUUGAGGAGUUCCCAUCGUGGCUCCGCAGUUAACGAACCCAACUAGCAUCCAUGAGGACGGAGGUUCGAUCCCUGGCCUUGCUCAGUGGGUUAAGGAUCUGGCGUUGCCAUGAGCUGUGGUGUAGGUCACAGACGAAGCUCAGAUCCCAUGUGGCUGUGGCUGUGGUGUAGGCAGUGGCUAUAGCUCCAAUUCGACCCCUAGCCUGGGAACCUCCAUACACUGCAGGUGCAGCCCUAAAAAGACCAAAAAAAAAAAAAGAAUUUGAAAAAGGUGCUGGUGGGAGUUUCUGGUAUGAAGGGGCAAUCAAGUUGUCAGCUGGGCCUGUCAUCAUCUGAAAGCUUGACUAGGGCCAAAGGACCUGCCUGGCAAGUUGGUGCCGGGCUUUGGCAAAAGGCCUUGGAUCCUUCCACCAUGGACAUGGUCACAGGACAGUUUGCAUGUCUUCACAACACAGGAACUGGCUUCACCCAGAGCAAAUAUCCAACAUGAAAAUAACCAAGGUUUUUUAAUUGACCUAGACUCAGAAAUUACACCAGGGUCACUUUUAUAGUAUUCUACUGGUCACCCAGGCCAGCCAUGAGCCUGCGUGGGGGAGACAACACAAGGACAUGACAUGAAGGUGUCCAGUCCCCAUCCAGUAUGCCAGGAGCCUGGAAGUCCUCAGUCCCAUUCCUACAAGAAAAGUGUAUGCAUUCCUGAAUAACAUCAUGUCAGACUUAGGUGCAUAAAAUCCCAUCGUACACACUCUUUUGUGUCGUAUUUCUUUGCCUCAUCAUCAUGUUUGUAGGAUUCAUACAUAUUGCUGCAUGUAGCAGUGGUUUGGGUUUUUUUUCGUUCCAUGGGAAGAAUACAGCACAAUGCAUUUGCCUGUCCUCCCGCUGAUGGACACUUGAGUCCUUUUGGGGACCACUACGAGCAUCCCUGUGAUGCACACACGCAUCUCUCUACAACACGCACCAGGAGCAGAGUUGCUGGGUGUGUGCAGGGCCAGCUCUAGUGCUGGUCUCCCUAGAGUUUGUACCCCUUCCAUUCCUACCAACACAGAGGAGAGAUUCCUUGGCUCCAUGUUGUCAAUACUUAGUUCCAGUGAGAUGGACCUUUCUGAAAAUGUGCAUCAGAUGAGCUUCACUCUCUUGCUUCAAGACCAUUUUACUUGCAAUAAAAUCCAAAUAUUCGACCCUGGGCCUCUGGGCCCCGACUCCCUCUCCACCCCUACCCAUGACCACCAGGGAGGCGCUUACCACCUACUAUGAUUGAGACACAUCAGCCUCGUUUCUGUUCCCAAAAUUACUAAGCUCAAGUUGGGGAACAGAUGAGGCUGGGGAAGGGGGCCAGGCUUGGAAGUUGCUCCAGGAACUUGUUCGAAUGUCUUUUACACAAGAUAUUACCCACCCCCCAGGGAGUCCCAGGCUCCAUCCCCUUGAAAUGUGGGCAUCUCCUUAGCACAGGUUCUAUGAAUUCUCCUUAUAGCACGGCCCUCAAAUUUAAGUCAACCAUGUCACCAGUAACAGAUCAGCCCCAACUCUGAUGCAGGAAGAAAACCUGCUGCUCAGAGAAGAAAAGAAAAAUAAGGAAUAAUUGAGCGUAUUGAUGAAGCCAGAGCAGAAAAAAACAGAGUGAACAAACAUGCUAGUCAGGAAGCUUUAAAAAGAUGGAGUUCCCGUCGUGGC